AUUGAACGCUGGCGGCAGGCCUAACACAUGCAAGUCGAGCGGAUGAAGGGAGCUUGCUCCUGGAUUCAGCGGCGGACGGGUGAGUAAUGCCUAGGAAUCUGCCUGGUAGUGGGGGAUAACGUCCGGAAACGGGCGCUAAUACCGCAUACGUCCUGAGGGAGAAAGUGGGGGAUCUUCGGACCUCACGCUAUCAGAUGAGCCUAGGUCGGAUUAGCUAGUUGGUGGGGUAACGGCCUACCAAGGCGACGAUCCGUAACUGGUCUGAGAGGAUGAUCAGUCACACUGGAACUGAGACACGGUCCAGACUCCUACGGGAGGCAGCAGUGGGGAAUAUUGGACAAUGGGCGAAAGCCUGAUCCAGCCAUGCCGCGUGUGUGAAGAAGGUCUUCGGAUUGUAAAGCACUUUAAGUUGGGAGGAAGGGCAGUAAGUUAAUCCCUUGCUGUUUUGACGUUACCAACAGAAUAAGCACCGGCUAACUUCGUG
rnacentral:rRNA from 1 species